AUUGAACGCUGGCGGCAUGCCUUACACAUGCAAGUCGAACGGUAACAGGUCUUCGGAUGCUGACGAGUGGCGAACGGGUGAGUAAUGCAUCGGAACGUGCCCAGGUGUGGGGGAUAACUGCUCGAAAGAGCAGCUAAUACCGCAUACGACCUGAGGGUGAAAGCGGGGGAUCGCAAGACCUCGCGCAAUCGGAGCGGCCGAUGUCAGAUUAGGUAGUUGGUGGGGUGAAGGCCUACCAAGCCGACGAUCUGUAGUUGGUCUGAGAGGACGACCAGCCACACUGGGACUGAGACACGGCCCAGACUCCUACGGGAGGCAGCAGUGGGGAAUUUUGGACAAUGGGCGCAAGCCUGAUCCAGCAAUGCCGCGUGCAGGAAGAAGGCCUUCGGGUUGUAAACUGCUUUUGUCAGGGAAGAAAUCCUCUGGGUUAAUACCCCGGGGGGAUGACGGUACCUGAAGAAUAAGCAUCGGCUAACUACGCGCCAGCCGCCGCGGUAAGAC
rnacentral:rRNA from 1 species